rnacentral:rRNA from 1 species
AGUGAACGCUGGCGGUAAGCCUAACACAUGCAAGUCGAACGGCAGCACAGGAGAGCUUGCUCUCUGGGUGGCGAGUGGCGGACGGGUGAGGAAUACAUCGGAAUCUACUCUGUCGUGGGGGAUAACGUAGGGAAACUUACGCUAAUACCGCAUACGACCUACGGGUGAAAGCAGGGGACCUUCGGGCCUUGCGCGAUUGAAUGAGCCGAUGUCGGAUUAGCUAGUUGGCGGGGUAAAGGCCCACCAAGGCGACGAUCCGUAGCUGGUCUGAGAGGAUGAUCAGCCACACUGGAACUGAGACACGGGCCAGACUCCUACGGGAGGCAACAGUGGGGAAUAUUGGACAAUGGGCGCAAGCCUGAUCCAGCCAUACCGCGUGGGUGAAGAAGGCCUUCGGGUUGUAAAGCCCUUUUGUUGGGAAAGAAAUCCAGCUGGCUAAUACCCGGUUGGGAUGACGGUACCCAAAGAAUAAGCACCGGCUAACUUCGUGCCAGCAGCCGCCGUAA